UACGAAGGUGGCAAGCGUUGUUCGGAUUUACUGGGCGUACAGGGAGCGUAGGCGGUUGGAUAAGCCCUCCGUGAAAUCUCCAGGCUUAACCUGGAAAGUGCAGAGGGGACUGUUCAGCUAGAGGAUGGGAGAGGAGCGCGGAAUUCCCGGUGUAGCGGUGAAAUGCGUAGAGAUCGGGAGGAACACCAGUGGCGAAGGCGGCACUCUGGGCCGGUACUGGACGCUGAGGAGCGAAAGCGUGGGGAGCAAACAGG
rnacentral:rRNA from 1 species